rnacentral:misc_RNA from 1 species
AAGGAGCACCACGAGAAACACUCCAAUUGGUGGGGUGUGAGCCGUGAGGGGUUCUCGUCUGUAGUGGACGAGGGCCGGGUGCACAACAACAGGCAAUCGCCAGACACACUAUUGGGCCCUGAGACAACACUCGGCCGACUUCGGUUGAAGUGGUGUCCCUCCAUCUUGGUGGUGGGGUGUGGUGUUUGAGUAUUGGAUAGUGGUUGCGAGCAUCUAAAUGAACGCGUCGCCGGCAACGGUUACGUGUUCGUUUUGUGUAAUUUUUUCUUUUGGUUUUUGUGU